rnacentral:rRNA from 1 species
GAUGACAUUCGAACGGUGAACACGGAGCUUGCUCUGUGGGAUCAGUGGCGAACGGGUGAGUAACACGUGAGCAACCUGCCCCUGACUCUGGGAUAAGCGCUGGAAACGGCGUCUAAUACUGGAUAUGUGACGUGACCGCAUGGUCUGCGUCUGGAAAGAAUUUCGGUUGGGGAUGGGCUCGCGGCCUAUCAGCUUGUUGGUGAGGUAAUGGCUCACCAAGGCGUCGACGGGUAGCCGGCCUGAGAGGGUGACCGGCCACACUGGGACUGAGACACGGCCCAGACUCCUACGGGAGGCAGCAGUGGGGAAUAUUGCACAAUGGGCGCAAGCCUGAUGCAGCAACGCCGCGUGAGGGACGACGGCCUUCGGGUUGUAAACCUCUUUUAGCAGGGAAGAAGCGAAAGUGACGGUACCUGCAGAAAAAGCGCCGGCUAACUACGUGCCAGCAGCCGCGGUAAUACGUAGGGCGCAAGCGUUAUCCGGAAUUAUUGGGCGUAAAGAGCUCGUAGGCGGUUUGUCGCGUCUGCUGUGAAAUCCGGAGGCUCAACCUCCGGCCUGCAGUGGGUACGGGCAGACUAGAGUGCGGUAGGGGAGAUUGGAAAUUCCUGGUGUAGCGGUGGAAUGCGCAGAUAUCAGGAGGAACACCGAUGGCGAAG